rnacentral:rRNA from 1 species
CCUACGGGAGGCAGCAGUGGGGAAUAUUGCACAAUGGGGGAAACCCUGAUGCAGCGACGCCGCGUGAGUGAAGAAGUCUUUCGGUAUGUAAAGCUCUAUCAGCAGGGAAGAAAUAGCGACCUUUGGGUCGCCAGCCGGUCCCUGACUAAGAAGCCCCGGCUAACUCCUUACCAGCAGCCGCGGUAAUACGUAGGGGGCAGACGUGAGCCGUAUUUAAUGGGUUUAAAGGGGUCGUAGACGGCAGCACAAGUCUGAAGUGAAAUGUCGGGGCUUAACCCCGGAACUGCUUUGGAAACUGUGCAGCUAGAGUGCAGGAGAGGUAAGUGGAAUUCCUAGUGUAGCGGUGAAAUGCGUAGAUAUUAGGAGGAACACCAGUGGCGAAGGCGGCUUACUGGACUGUAACUGACGUUGAGGCUCGAAAGCGUGGGGAGCAAACAGGAUUAGAUACCCCUGUAGUC